rnacentral:rRNA from 1 species
UACAGAGGGUGCGACCGUUGCUCGGAAUUACUGGGCGUAAAGCGCGUGUAGGCGGAUCCAUAAGUCGGGCGUGAAAUCCCCAGGCUCAACCUGGGAACUGCGCUCGAAACUGUGGGUCUUGAGUGUCGGAGAGGAUGGCGGAAUUCCUGGUGUAGAGGUGAAAUUCGUAGAUAUCAGGAGGAACACCGGUGGCGAAGGCGGCCAUCUGGACGACAACUGACGCUGAGACGCGAAAGCGUGGGGAGCAAACAGG